GGGCUAGCAAACCCGCGCCACACCAAAGCCCCGCGCCGCGCCGCGCCGCGCUCUGCUACUCGAGAAGCCGCGGCCUCGGGCUUGAGGCCACCCAGACUAGACCCCUCCCACCUACUGCCCCACGCUUUGUAGUGGCAGGAUCAUUAAGUCCUGUUUUUUUCUGAAGAGAAAACAGGUCGCAGUCUUUUAGGAAGGCCUCGCUUUGAUGGCGUCCCCGCCCCCGCGCGUCGCGCAGCCAAGCGGGCGGCGCGGCGCCUAAUUGCCCCACGCCACGCAAGGUCAGCGGGGCUGGAGCGGCUGGCCAGGGCGGGGCAUCCCUUUAGGAUCUUGCUGACUCCGCGCGGACAGCCAGGGUUUCCCAGGCGCCCCCUCCCCGUGCAGGAUGCGCUCCAUCAGGUGCUGCCGCUCCCUAGCCCCCUCCAGUGCUGAAACUGUCUCCAGAGACCUUUGCCUUUGGCUCUGACGUAGUAGCUCGGCAUCUUCAUCACCACCCAAGUAAACAACAGUGGCUGAGUAAACAAGCUGGGUGAUUACGUUUGCUAACGCAACCUCAAACCGGCCGCCUCCCGGCCACGCAGAUAUACAAUUGACAGCCGCUUCAGCUGCUUCUGCCCCUAGGUCCGCCUCAUGUGUUUCCAGCCUAGGAGCCAAAGACUGAAAAUUCUCGGCGUCAGAAGACGCAGCUCUCACCUGAGGCCCAGAACCACACUGACAGAAUUUCAUUCAUUCGUUGACAAGUUUCUGCGGUGUCUUCACCUCCCACCAAUGUUGCCCACCUGCGUUUCCAUGGCUGCGGAAAACCAGCAUCCCCAGUUUAAGGCUAACAUCCUCAAAAAGCUCCCGUCUCCUGGCCUAACCCAAGCGUCAGGAAUGGGGUCAGGAUGUAGCUCCCAGCUACUUCUCCAGUACCAUACCUCCUGCCACCAUGUUCCUUGAGCCAUGAUGAUAAUGGAAUAAGCCUCUGAAACUGUAAACAAGAGACUCGGAAGAUCUGGGCCAGAGCCACAGACCAAGAAGGGACUUCUUGGAUCAGCAGCAGCUGCUGCAGGGAGAGAUGAGAGUGUUAAAGGACCGUGCUCAGGCCCUGGAUUGUACUCAGCUGCUUGAGGAGAAGUCAGUGCUUCUGACAGCUCUGGGGUGUUCUCUGACCAGUAGAGUGUGCAAGCUAGGCUGGGAUGGGUCCCCUAUUCUCACAGAGUGAGAUGCCCCAUUGCCAAGAUCUUGGCCACCCUCUGUCACUGGUUAGUAAGUAUGAUCAGAAAUCCAACCCUGAGUCACAUGGCCAGGGUCCAACUCCCUUUCCUGUGUAUCUGUGUUCAUGUUGGUCACAUCCUGUCUCUUUUAUGGGGCACUUGGGGAAAAUUUUAGCCUUAUCUCAGUUGGGCAUGAUGGCAUACUCCUGUAAUCCUAGCACUUAGACGGUAGAGGCAGGGAUUCAAGGGUCAGGGAUUCAAGGUUAUCCAGAACCACACAAUGAGUUUGAAGCCAGCAUAGACUACAGGAGAGAGACCUUGUAUCAAAUAACUGAGGAGGGGGGAGUUCUAUCUCCACUACUCAUGGCACCCAGAGGCAGGGGAGCAGGGUUAGAUAAUAUGAAGAUUGCUGUUCAACUCUAGAUGUGUGGGAACUAAAGCCCCAGGACAGAGGGCUUCUGGGUGUGCAGGAAAACACGAAGGAAGGAGACCUUACUGUCCAGCUAACGAGACAGUGAGUACAUCUGUCUUUGAAACGAUAAAGGCCCCACACAGAGUCCAGAGUGCCUCAUUUGCCAGCACACCUCAGUUUCUGGGAGGUACCAUCUUCCCUCAGGAGGGAGCUGGGCAAGCAGGAGCCAGCUCCCAGGUUGCAUCAUGAGGAGGGAGCUGACUACUGGAGGGCAUGCUGGCGCCGGGUGGCAGUUGCUCUGAUACAUAUAUGGCUCUACUUCAGGGACUCCAGAGGCAGAGCAGGGUCUGGCCCUCCCAGGUAGGUGCCCUCUCCACCUUCCUUUGCUCUCCAUUCUCUUCUCAACUGCGACUAGGCUCUCCCCCAAGCUUUACCCUAUGCCUCCUUCCCUCUCUUUGCCUGCCCUUCAUCGUGAUCCCAGCUAUUCAGCACGCAUUUGUUAAGCAUCUUCUACACACCUGGGCCCCUCUAUUGUGCAGAACCCAUGUCAGAGCAGCCUGCUCCAUGUCCCCAAAAGGGUAUGGAUUGAGGGUAUACAGGCCAAGAAACAAGCGAUUACAAUUUAGUGAAUUCAACCAGGGGCUGGACAAUAGAUAGAAAGGGCCUCUCCAAAGAACGGGAUUCUGAACCUCUGAGCCUCCCUGAAAGGUGAGCGGGCAUUUUCCCAGAGGAAAACUGAAAUACAUGGCACUUCAGGAAGAGCAAGCAACAGGUACAAAGGCCCAGAGAAGAGCAGGAUGUGUGGGAGCUUGUGAAUGAUCCCUGACCCAGGCAGGGGCCUUGAACAAAUACCUGCUUUCUCAAGACAGGGAAUUGAGGACAAAGUAAGGAUAGCACCCAAAGUAAGGAUAGUGAAAGCAUUGAGUUUACUGGGGUUCCUUACGGGCAUAUGAAUGAGGGGCGCUUCUCAAGAGCAGGAACGACUCACAGGCAGCUGUGUCACUGGAAGCCCACCCCAGCCCUGGCGACAGCUCUUGAAAGCUGGAAACCUAGAGCUCAUUGUACAACUCAAAGGAAGCUCAACUGACAGUUUGGAGAAUGUCUCUUCUAAGCAGGGCUGCCAGUUUGAGGAUGGCACACAGCAGCCCUUACUGCUUAUAUAAACUUGGGGAGAGGGGCUCUAACACAUCUGUUUCAGGGACUUCCUGAGGCUUUUUGAGUUGUUUACUUCCUGAGUAACAAAUCUCCAUUUGCACUCCCUGAGACUUAAUGAAGGUUCCUCCAAGAUGAAAUGUUUUAUCUCCAGGGAAGUUGCUGCACAACAACUGGAGAGAUGGCUCAGGAGGGAACAGCACUUGAACAACCCUGGCAAAGUUCCAUCCCUGGAACCAAUGUUGAGGUGGGAGGAGAGAAUAGACUUCUAGCUUCCGUAGGUGCACAUCGAACACACAAAUAUAAAACAAUACCUGUCCGGAAUGACAAGUGGAGUUGGUGAGGGGGUUACUGUGGGAGGCGAGACAGGAACCAGAUCAAGGGUUCAGGUGCCUGAGGCCCUGACAUCCCCCAACCUCUAGUCCCAACUCAGUAGUUGCCUCCUCCUGGCAGCCUUUCCCCUUUGAUCUCCUGGGCAAAUGAGCAUUUUCCCGGCCGUGUGCACACACAGCAAGACACAGCUAUCACAGGGAGUCCCUGGGAUACAACACUGUGGGGGUAGGGAUGGGUUCCACAUAGAGUCGCAGGCCUCCGUCUACACUGACCUGUUGAUAUCGCUGGAAGAGAGGAGAGAGGUGGCUGGCUAAUCCCCGCUCUGAGCCUGUCAGGAGAGAGCCACAGGAUGUGGACUCCAGUUCACAGAUGCCUGCACAUGUGGUCUGUGGACCAUGGGCCAAGCUUACCAGGCAGAACUCAGCCAGGUAGUACAGCAGUUGGACAGGGGCUGGCUGUAGCCCAUGCUAGGCCAUGUGAUUGGCAAAGGCCCAGAGCUUAGGGACCCCAGUCCUCCAACAAGUUCUGCCUUCUUUUUUAUUUUAUUUUAUUUUUAUUAAUUACAGUUUAUUCACUUUGUAUCCCAGCUGUUGCCCCAUCCCCUCCCAAUCCCACCCUCCCUCCCUCUUCUUCUCCUAUGCCCCUAUGCCCCUCAAGUUCUGCCUUCUAAUUACAUUCCUGUCUUCAAGCUCCUUUUACCUGACCGCUCUCUGAAUCUCUACCUCAGGCUGUCCUUAAUCCCAGGUCCUUACUGUGUUUAAGGCAGAGAUGAGAAGUGUGAAUGCUGGUCUGAAAUCCUGGCUCCAUAUUACCUGUGUGACCUUGGGCAAGUCUCUGGUACCUACUUCUCUGGGCCAAAGCUGUAAAAAUGAGGACAACUGUCCUCGUUACAUGGUUACACAUGUAGCUAUUAGCUUAAAUGUUUCCUGGGGCUCUAAGAGUAGCCACACAAGAAAAGAAAGCUCCCUUUGAAAUCAGGAUUAUCUGGGGGUCCCAAGAGCUGCCAUGUGUGCGGGGUCCAUCCUUGCUCCCCCUAUUCUAGUUUGCUAGCUAGCCACAGCCAAGCACCUCAGCCCCAGGCUAAACCAGUUCUGCAGGCUGGAAUCUCAGUGGCAGAGCCUGAUGCAGGGUGGCUGCCGUGGGCUCUGAGCUGCAGGCUCUGCUGGAUUCUACAGCCUUUGCCAUUCCUGUAACCGGAGUCCCUGCCCUCACUUUCCUUUGCUCCCAGGCCAUAUCUGCAUCUGAAUUUACCUUUGCCCUUCUGUAAAGAUCACAGGCACGUGGGAUUAGGACCUAGUUCAAGAGCCUCCUUUUAACUUGAUUAUCAUCUCCAAAUAUGGUCAUAUUUUGAGGUGCAAGAGACUGCAAAAAAUUCUUUUUUAGGGGACACAGCUCACACAACACCCCCACCUUGCUUCCUGCUACUUUCUUGUUGGGUGGGUGGGUGUGACUUAGGAUCUCAGGAAACAGUUUCAUUUGUCUCCUCAUAUGACCCCAGGAGGAUCACAGCCACAAGAGGCUGCAGUGCUCAGAGGAGGAUGGUCGUGGGCACUGCUCCCUAUGCCUACCUCCUCCACAGAGAACCAUGAGGGCAUGUGAGCCUAGGCUGCAGAGUAGAGCUGUUUGCAGCGGGGUCCUGACCAAACCUCAAGGUGGAUAUGUGGGCCAGGAUGAGAAUGCAAUUUGUCCCUCCUAGGCCUUCCCUGGCAGGCAACAGGAAUAGGACACAGGGCCUGGGGGAAAAAAACAAUCAGAUGGAUAUUGAGACUUAGAGGAGCUUAGAGCAGCAGGUGAUGGCCCCACAUGAGAUCGGGCCCCUCAACAAGCCCUACCUGAGGACCCCAGAACUCUUGCAAAAAACAGUGGGAGGUACCGACAGUCACUGAGGCUCCUCAGCUCUUUUUCUGUAUAAGGGGUCUCAAACUCCCUGUCCAGGCACCUGUAGUUGCUGGGCAUUCAAAGCCAGGAGUAGAUAGGACUUCUGGGCUGCAGCAAUUUUCUGUUGCAAGAGUGGACUCCAAGCAUGGGCAGAUGUAUGGUGACUAUGUGUGUGGGGGCAGCGCCAAGAUUUGACUGCUACGCUACCAGAACCUAGUGUCAGCAGCUAAGAUGGAGAAUUGGUCCCCUGGUCAGUAUAGCCCAAGCUCACAGCCAAGGCUGGGGAUGUGAGAACCUGAACAAUUCAGCCAACCAGAAGGGAAGGCAGCCUAUCCUGUCUGGGUACCUGUGUGUCUCUUAGUCUCUUGGUGUCAGCCUCUGUUCAUCUGCUCCCAGGUUCCAAUCCUAGACCUGGAGGCCAGGAGGGCACCGAAGACAACUGAGAGCCAGGGGACAAGCCCAGGCACUGUUCAACUGGCCCUGAGCACUGCUGUCACAGCUGUGCUCUUGAAGCUCCAGAGACCCGGGUUAGCCCUGCCCACUUUCAGGGGGUAGGUGGACCUGCCGUAGGGAGCUGGGCUCCCAGGAGAGCAAGGGCUCCUUAGGGGAACAAGCUCUAUGACUAUAUGGUGUGGUAGGUAGCUACCAUCUUUGGCCCCUGUCUGCUACGGGGCCUAAAAUGCCUGCAUUGACUUAACUGUUGACUCUUUGUGGAGGCCAUGUGCGUAGCUCCUGUCCUGGUGGAUCUGUGGCUAGGAGACUUGGGAACAGACUGACCAGUUGGGGGUGCCAAGAUCCUCAUAAGGCUUUAUAUGCCCACUGGCAUAAGAAUGCUACCAGUGACCCUGUGUUCUGCUGGGGAAAUCCUUGAGCACCAGGUUUUGAAACUCAGUAAAGUUACUCUUUACAGAUGCCUCAUACAGCUCCAAAUCCCUGUUAUAGGAAGAAAGACUGCUAGGAGAGUGUGUAGCUUACCCCAGGACACACAGCUGCUAGGCCCUGGGCCUCCUGACCUGUCUCAGGUGUUUGCUCUCAGCUGGCUGGCAUGAGCAUCCUCAACCGCCGCAGGCAAGCCAGUUUGGGAUUUGCAUCUCCUCAGCCUAUCUGGCUGUGCUGGCUAGUUUGAUGUUAACAUGACACAAUGAAUAGUUAUCAGAAAGGAAGGAGCCUCAAUUGAGAAAAUGUCUUUGUGAGACUGGGCUGCAGGCAAGUGUGUAGGACACUUUUUAAAAAAUAGUGAUUGAUGGAAGAGUGGGCAGUCCAUUGUAGGUGGUGCCAGCCCUGGGCUGGUGGUCCUGGACUCUGUAAGAAAGCAGGCUGUGAGCAAGCCAUGAAGAACAAGCCAGUGGGCUCCACUCCUUCAAUGCCUCUGCAUCAGCUCCUGCCUCCAGGUUCCUGCCCUGUUUGAGUUUCUGUCCUGACUUCUUUCAAUGAAAAACAAUGAUGUGGAAGUGUAAGCAAAUAAACCCUUUCCUUCCCAACCUGCUUUUGGUUGUGGUGUUUCAUCAUCAGUAGUAACCCUAACUAAGAUUGGUGUGGCUUCUUUUUUUUUUUCCCCCUUUGUAGACCAGGCUAGCCUCAAACUCACAGCAAUCCACCUCCCUCUGCCUGCCUGAGUGCUGAGAUUACAGGCAUGCACCAUGGAGCCCAGCUCAGUGGGAUGUUCUU